rnacentral:lncRNA from 1 species
AUGACAGCAGCUGAUCCCCACAAGACAAGGGUGCAGCAGAGGUUGCCUACCGAGCCUUCAGAACAGUUCUAUUGCCAAUUUUUUCCCAUUGCUCCUUAUUGUGACGCUGACAAGGAGCACAGCAAAACUGACACAGCGAGGCACAGAGAUGCUGCAGGAAGAGCUCAGAAUUGACAAGUGACAGCGGAACAAGUGGCAGUGACCAGGUUUUCUCCCUGAGAUCUGAUUUCACGUUCAGCAUUCCUUGAGAUGAAAUAGGAAUAAACAGGUAUUUUGGUUUUACUCCUUUCUGUGAUCUCUGGUAUAGAAAUAUGACUAGUUUAGACCCAGUACUCAGAGGAAUCUCAGUUUUGCUGGGAUUAUUUGAUAACCAUUAGGCUUGUACUUAUUUCCUAAACCUAAAGCAACAGAUACAUAUUACUGGGGGGAAGGGGAGGGCUUCAAGGAAGGCCAGUAGGUCUGAGAAAAUCUGACUGAAUGUGAUGGUAGGGAGGAACCAGGCAGAGACAGCAGCAGAUCAGUUUUGCUGACCGACUGAAGGCUCAUUAGUGUGUCAGGAAAGGUUUGAGGCUGUGGCCCCAAGCCUCCACUGGGCUAUCAGGGACAGGGCUGGGGGACCCCUUGGGGCAGCUCCCUCUGUGCACAGGAAUCUGACCAUGGAGACAGCUCAAGGCCCAGGCUCUUUGUGCUCUACCUGCCUGGGGACACCAGGACAAAUGCAAAGAGGACCUAUUUUAGUCACUGCACAUAAAUAGUAGCCACCCACUGUAAGCAAUGGCUUUGUUCUUCUCUACUCCAGUCCAAUAUAUAAGGCUUCCACAGCAGCCUGACCUUAAAUCUCAAUUUGCUCCCAAAUCCCAAGGGAGAGGGAGCUCUGUGAGAACUCCUGGAGAUGGGUCAUUAAAUUAACAUUUUUGUCUCAUUAGCUUUUGAAAGCAGCAGUUACAGCACAAGGGACUUGGCCUGGUGAUAUACCUACACAUGCACAGCAUGCUUCUACUAAACCCAUUAGACCACAUCUGCCUAGAGUACAUUUUUCUGGCCAGAACCCAUAAUAUUAAUCUCUGCUGUGUCCUACAUCCAAAAUCUAAUUUUACACUUACUGUAUUGGGAGAUGCUGCAUGAAUAAAGGGAUAUGUCAUUCUCACUCCUUUUGCACAUGGAGCCACUCUGGGUCCCACUCCUGCACUGCAGCAAUC